UAGAGAGAACAAUCAUUAGGGCUGAGGUGU
rnacentral:piRNA from 1 species